AUCAAUCUUAAGUUCAGUCUACCCAAGAAUAUGUAUCCAGCUGUUGUCCAAUGGGCUCAUGGACCAGCCCACCUGUCAACACAUCUGAUGAACUCUCUGAUUGAUAAAUACUUUGAAGCACCGGGUAUUACUACUCUAACACAGAACUAUUGUAGAUCUUGUGCAAUUUGUGCUAAAUGUAACCCCGGGAAGAUUGUUAAAACUGCACCCAACAACUUGGCCAAACCACAGUACCCUUUCCAGAGGAUACAGAUUGAUCACAUCCAGAUGCCAAAAAGUGGACGCUAUGAAUACGCAUUAGUCAUUGUGGACAUAUUCUCAGGAUGGCCAGAAGCCUUCCCAGUGGCCAAUCUUAGCGCAAGAACUACAGCCAAACAUCUUCUGACGGAAAUUGUUUGUCGGUAUGGUGUUCCAGAAGUAAUUGAAAGUGACCAAGGAACCUCCUUUACCGCCUCAUUGACACGGGAAGUCUGGG